rnacentral:miRNA from 1 species
CAAGCUUCCUCUUCAUACUCGU